rnacentral:rRNA from 1 species
GACGAACGCUGGCGGCGUGCUUUACACAUGCAAGUCGAACGGUGAAGGUGGAGCUUGCUCCGCCGGAUCAGUGGCGAACGGGUGAGUAACACGUGGGCAACCUGCCCCUAACUUUGGGAUAACUACUCGAAAGAGUAGCUAAUACCGGAUAUGAAGUCUGUAGGCAUCUAUGGAUUUGGAAAGUUUUUCGGUUAGGGAUGGGCCCGCGGCCUAUCAGCUUGUUGGUGAGGUAGUGGCUCACCAAGGCGACGACGGGUAGCCGGCCUGAGAGGGCGACCGGCCACACUGGGACUGAGACACGGCCCAGACUCCUACGGGAGGCAGCAGUGGGGAAUAUUGCGCGAUGGGCGAAAGCCUGACGCAGCAACGCCGCGUGCGGGAUGAAGGCCUUCGGGUUGUAAACCGCUUUCAGCAGGGAAGAAGCGAAAGUGACGGUACCUGCAGAAGAAGCACCGGCUAACUACGUGCCAGCCGCCGCCGUAA